UCUCUCUCCCCGCCCCUCUCUCUAGCUCAAGUUCUUCCCUUUCUUGCUCUGCGAAGGGUAGAUCAGGUGCACCACGAGUUGGUGAAGCUGCCAGCAUGAUCUGAUGAUCGAACUCAUGGAUGAUGGGGAGGAUCGGGAUCCAUCAAUCAGGUCAUGCUGGAGUUUCAUCUGCUAGUGGGAGCACAACGAAAACCCUAAAAUCUCCAUCCAUAUGGUAUGGAUGCAUCAAUCUCGCCAGGUUCUUCUAGCUAGCCUUCCAGGAAUCCGGCCUCAAGGGUGAGAUGAUCGAGAUCCAUCUUCCUCUCCAUUGAUUGAUGGCCUGCCAGGUUUGUUAAUUUCUGUAACUUCUGCAAGAAGAAGAUGAAAACUAAUCGCUCAAGUACUCCCAAGAGUUUAAUGUUCUAGAUCUAGUUAGCCAUCAAGAGGGUUUAGUUCCAUAUCUAUGAUAUGGCUUGCUAAUUCAUUCAAUCUCAGCUAUAUCAUUGUGAUUACAAUGAUGUUUGUUAGGGGCAUAAAAAAGCAUAUUUAUCUAUA